rnacentral:rRNA from 1 species
ACGGAAGGCAGCAGUGAGGAAUAUUGGUCAAUGGACGGAAGUCUGAACCAGCCAAGUCGCGUGCGGGACGAAGGCCCUACGGGUCGUAAACCGCUUUUGUACGGGGAUAAAGUCACCCACGUGUGGGUGUUUGUAGGUACCGUAAGAAUAAGGAUCGGCUAACUCCGUGCCAGCAGCCGCGGUAAUACGGAGGAUCCGAGCGUUAUCCGGAUUUAUUGGGUUUAAAGGGAGCGCAGGCGGCCUUUUAAGCGUGUUGUGAAAUGUAGGAGCUCAACUUCUGCACUGCAGCGCGAACUGGACGGCUUGAGUACGCGGGAAGUAGGCGGAAUUCGUCGUGUAGCGGUGAAAUGCUUAGAUAUGACGAAGAACUCCGAUUGCGAAGGCAGCCUACUGUAGCGUUACUGACGCUAAAGCUCGAAAGUGUGGGUAUCGAACAGGAUUAGAUACCCUGGUA